rnacentral:rRNA from 1 species
CCGGCACGGGUGAGUAACACGUAUCCAACCUGCCGUCUACUCUUGGACAGCCUUCUGAAAGGAAGAUUAAUACAAGAUGGCAUCAUGAGUCCGCAUGUUCACAUGAUUAAGGGUAUUCCGGUAGACGAUGGGGAUGCGUUCCAUUAGAUAGUAGGCGGGGUAACGGCCCACCUAGUCUUCGAUGGAUAGGGGUUCUGAGAGGAAGGUCCCCCACAUUGGAACUGAGACACGGUCCAA